CUCUUUGACGUCAGGACCAGAACAAAAGACAAGCAAGGGGUCAGAGCUGAGACCACAGACCAUACAGGUCGGUCCUCUGCUACCUGGAGAAGGGCGGACCCGCUCCUACGAACCCCACCCAGUCCAGCUCGGACCAAACCAAGCAGGAACAGGCACCAGAAAGCUGGGACAGCGCCUGUCCAAGCACCCAACGUGUCUUCCUGAGCGCUCCAGGCUGCGCCAUGCUCGCCCUCCAAAGCAGCCUGAGGAGGAUGCUGGCCCCGCGGGCUCUGGUGCAUCCGGUGUGCCCAUCAUUUGCUACUGACCACAGACAGCGAGAAGGAACAUUCUAUGAGUUUUGUACUUACUAUCUCAAACCCUCAAAUGUGGAAGAGUUCCUGUACAAUUUUAAGAAAAAUGUUCAUCUUCGGACAGCUCACUCUGAAUUGGUCGGAUAUUGGAGUGUAGGAUUUGGAGGCAGAAUAAACACAGUAUUCCAUAUUUGGAAGUAUGAUAGUUAUGCUCAGCGUGCUGCGGUUUACAAAGCCUUGGCCAAGGAUAAUGAUUGGCAAGAACGAUUCCUCAUUCCAAAUUUGCCUUUCAUCGAUAAACAAGAGAGCGAGAUUACCUAUUUGGUACCAUGGUGCAAAUUAGGGACGCCUCCCAAGGAAGGAGUCUAUGAACUGGCUACUUUUCUGAUGAAACCUGGUGGCCCAGCUCUAUGGGGUGACGCAUUUGAAAGGGCAGUAAAUGCCCAUGCUAAUCAAGGCUACGUUAAACUAAUUGGCGUGUUCCAUUCAGAGUAUGGAUUGCUCAACAGAGUUCAUGUUCUGUGGUGGGUCGAGGAUGCAGAUCGUCGGGCAGCUGGGAGGCAUCAAGCGCAUGAAGAUCCCAAAGUCGUGUCUGCUGUUCGGGAAAGUGUCAACUACCUAGAUACUCAACAGAAUAUGUUCCUGAUUCCUUGGUCAUUUUCACCACUGAAAUAGUUUCCUACUGACUGUUUUGCUAGCUAAGUGAGAUGUUUCAGUGGCCAGUGCUUCAAUUCUCUCUAGAGAAUUACUUCAACUUUUAUUUGAAGGAAGUGAAUACCAACUCUGUAAGACAACCCUUUGUUCAAAUGAGAUCGCAUUUCGAAGUGUGUGACCAUAUUUUUAAAUUAUUAAUAAAUAUAUGAUCCAUUUUAA